rnacentral:misc_RNA from 1 species
AUUGCAGGAAAGGCAAAUUUGGAGAAGUCGGAUCUGGAACCAGCCCUGAAAGCUCUCAAGGAUAGGUUGAUGACCAAAAAUGUGGCCGAGGAGAUAGCUGAGAAGCUUUGUGAAUCAGUUGCGGCCAGUCUUGAAGGUAAAAAGCAGGCAUCUUUCACGAGGAUAUCUUCAACAGUGCAGGCUGCAAUGGAAGAAGCUCUUGUUCGUAUAUUAACUCCUAGGCGCUCUAUUGACAUAUUGAGGGAUGUGCAUGCUGCAAAUGAACAGAGGAAGCCGUAUGUGGUUGUUUUUGUUGGUGUCAAUGGAGUUGGAAAGUCCACCAAUCUAGCUAAGGUAGCAUACUGGCUUUUU